UAGCGGACACCCAAGAACGCACGAUAGA
rnacentral:misc_RNA from 1 species